UACGAAGAGGGCUAGCGUUGCUCGGAAUUACUGGGCGUAAAGGGCGCGUAGGCGGAUAUUUAAGUUGGGGGUGAAAUCCCGGGGCUCAACCUCGGAAUUGCCUUCAAAACUGGAUAUCUUGAGUUCGGGAGAGGUGAGUGGAACUCCGAGUGUAGAGGUGAAAUUCGUAGAUAUUCGGAAGAACACCAGUGGCGAAGGCGACUCACUGGCCCGAUACUGACGCUGAGGCGCGAAAGCGUGGGAGCAAACAGG
rnacentral:rRNA from 1 species